AUGCAGAAAUCUCUGCAACUGCUGGGAAGACUGUUUAAAAAAAAAAAAAAAAAGGAACAUUGUGAAACGACAGAUUGCUGGGGCUCAUCCAAGCCUCCCUGCCAGGACAGCGGUGCUUGCGGCUGCUACUGCCACACGUGCCAGGUGUGGCUUCAGUGUUCAGCGGGCCCUGCGAAGGUGAUGACUGGUGCCCAGGGCAGAGGUAAGGUAUUUUAUCAUCCUAUAAAGAGCUGUUCCCAGGAGACCACCACAUGUUAUCUUAUAGAGGAAAAUUGUGCUGUCAUCCUGAGCAACCUUGACUCAUGAAUUCCACUCCUGGCCCUUCCUGUCGGAUCACAGAAAG
rnacentral:lncRNA from 1 species